rnacentral:rRNA from 1 species
GAACGCUGGCGGCGUGCUUAACACAUGCAAGUCGAACGGAAAGGCUCGCGUUGCAGGGUGCUCGAGUGGCGAACGGGUGAGUAACACGUGGGUGAUCUGCCCCUUACUUUGGGAUAAGCCUGGGAAACUGGGUCUAAUACUGGAUAGGACCAUGCUGUAGGUGGUGUGGUGGAAAGAUUUUUUCGGUAAGGGAUGAGCUCGCGGCCUAUCAGCUUGUUGGUGGGGUAAUGGCCUACCAAGGCGUCGACGGGUAGCCGGCCUGAGAGGGUGGACGGCCACAUUGGGACUGAGAUACGGCCCAGACUCCUACGGGAGGCAGCAGUGGGGAAUAUUGCACAAUGGGCGCAAGCCUGAUGCAGCGACGCCGCGUGGGGGAUGACGGCCUUCGGGUUGUAAACUCCUUUCAGCCAUGACGAAGCCCUUGUGGGGUGACGGUAGUGGUAGAAGAAGCACCGGCUAACUACGUGCCAGCAGCCGCGGUAAUACGUAGGGUGCGAGCGUUGUCCGGAAUUACUGGGCGUAAAGAGCUCGUAGGUGGUCUGUCGCGUCAUUUGUGAAAGCCCGGGGCUUAACUCCGGGUUGGCAGGUGAUACGGGCAUGACUGGAGUACUGUAGGGGAGACUGGAAUUCCUGGUGUAGCGGUGGAAUGC